UGCAAGUCGUACGAGAACCACUUCGGUGGGGACAGUGGCGAAAGGGUGAGGAAUAGUAUCGAACGUACCCCGAGGUAGAGGAUAGGUCAGGGAAACUUGGCAUAAUACUCUAUGAUCUCUACGGAGCAAAGCUUCGGCGCCUUGGGAGCGGCGAUACGCCUAUCAGGUUGUUGGUGAGGUAACGGCUCACCAAGCCUAAGACGGGUAGCGGGUGUGAGAGCAUGACCCGCCGCAUCGGGACUGAGACACUGCCCGGACUCCUACGGGAGGCUGCAGUAACGAAUAUUCCGCAAUGCACGAAAGUGUGACGGAGCAAUGCCGCGUGCAGGAUGAAGCGGUUUCGCCGUGUAAACUGCUGUCAGGGGUGAGGAAGAACUGACCAACCCCAGAGGAAGGGCCGGCUAAUCUCGUGCCAGCAGCCGCGGUAAGACGAGAGGCCCAAGCGUUACUCGGAAUCACUGGGCUUAAAGCGUGCGCAGGCGGACCAGCAAGCAUCUUGUGAAAUCCCAUCGCUCAACGAUGGAACUGCAGGGUGAACUGCUGGUCUUGAGGAAGGUAGAGGCUGACGGAACGAUAGGUGGAGCGGUGGAAUGCGUAGAGAUCUAUCGGAACGCCAAAGGCGAAGGCAGUCAGCUGGGCCUUACCUGACGCUCAGGCACGAAAGCGUGGGGAGCAAACAGGAUUAGAUACCCUGGUAGUCCACGCCCUAAACGAUGUGCACUAGAUCGUGGUCGGUCUGACCCGUUCGCGGUCGUAGAGAAAUUGAUAAGUGCACCGCCUGGGGAGUACGGUCGCAAGGCUAAAACUCAAAGGAAUUGACGGGGGCUCACACAAGCGGUGGAGCAUGUUGCUUAAUUCGAAGCAACG
rnacentral:rRNA from 1 species